AACUCAAUGGCAUCUGAUUCAGUGACACCAGCUCUUGAAGAAUUUCCAGAUGUUAAGAAGUUUGACCAGCUCAUGAAGAGCUAUAUUCUAGAUUCAACUAUAAAGACUUUAAUAUCCUCAAAAGACACUGAACUGAUGAGAAUGGUACUUCUCAACCCUGAAGACACCUCCAUAGAGUCAGCAAAAUUUCGAUAUUCAGUGAAAAAAUUGUUCAUGCUUGAAACACACA
rnacentral:sRNA from 1 species